CAAGAACAUUUCUUGUUUGUAAAAAUUCCCUUAUGUUGCCUAAUUUUUGUUAAUAUUAUUAUGUGUGGCUUGAAUCUUAUGUGUAUGUUAUUAUGAGAAGUGCCUUUAUUGGCCCUUUUGUGAUCAACCCUGAUUAUUAUGUUUCAUAAUGUUAGUGAAAAUCCAAUCUUGUUUUAAUCAAAUCCCUAUUUUUUUACAUUAAUGGUAUCCUAAAUCUUGAUUCCUUCUGGCUUCGCUAUCUGGUUGUAAAAAAUCCCUUAUGUUGCCUAAUUUUUGUUUAUAUUAAUUGGUGUGGCUUGAAUCUUAUGUGUAGAUUAUGAUGACUGUUGCUUUAGUAUUUCUGACACCUCUUGUAUGAGAAGAGCCUUUAUUGGCCCUUUUGUGAGCACACAAAGCAUCUAUCUACCCUGAUUAUCUUGUUUAAUAAUGUUAAUGGAAAUCAGUCUUGUUUUAAAAAGAUCCAACCUUUUUUUGUUAUUAAUGGUUUCACAAAUAUUGAUUCCUUUUGGCUUCGCUAUCUGGUUGUUGGAUUUAAACUUAGUAUCCUGCCAACUCGUUCCCUAGAAGCAAUAGUAGUUGUGUUGCUCUGUUUUCAUCACUCCAUCUUCUUCUUGUUUUGGUUGAUGGAGAUCAAUUGGGCAGCUACAUUUUCCUUAACUUUUAAUCCAUAUAUUUGAAAUGAAAUGGCGAUGAUGAACACUAUUUACAGUUUCACAGACCUGUAAUGAUUGCGGAUGUGAUCGCUUUUAUUGAACAUCUAAGGGACUGAGCCAUUUCUUACUCUAUUCAAAAUUUAUGUAAAUGUUUGUGCUUUACUCGGAUUUUUAUGCUGUCACACAUGAUACAGUGGUUAUGUGGCGCUUGUUAUAAGUGAAGCUAUAUAAAUAUGUUCUCCUCGCUAUCCAGUGGUGCUUCUGAUGGCUCAUUUGGACGUUGGUGAACUACAUACUUUGUCUCUUCAUUCUGUCUAUCUUCUCUUUAUUAUCGUCUUUAAUUUUGUAGAAUUUUGGACUAUGAUGAAUUGUGAUUGGUCUCGUUCGUCGUAAUGGCAUAUUGUUGUGCCUUGCCGACCAUACUGAUAUAUCACCACCCAUAAACCGAGUCCUUUCAAUUCAAAAUUUUCUAUUUUGGUAUUUGUAUCUGAUUUAUGGUAAAUUUCUUAUCAUAUUUUUGAAACUUGAAGCUGCAGUCUAUGAUGAUUUUAGUGGAAUUCAUUAAUGAUUAUCAUUGAUUACGAACACACUACUGCCUUCCUUCUGAGGCUUGCUUCUUUCAAUUUGAAUUCAAUUUUGUUGGCUAUUGGAUCAGUUUUUUGGAAAUUUAUUUUAUUUUAUUGGUCAAGUGAUGAUUAAAUGCAUAGUUCAAAUGACUUAUCCCUGAUUAUAAUAAUCUUUAGUCUUUCGCUCCUAUCUGAUGGCCUUUGAUCAAUGUUUUCUUAAAUUAUUUUUAUUGUUGUAAUUUUCUUUGUGGCCUAUGAUUAAAAUUCAUUUAUUGACAAGCAUAUGUCUGAAUAUCAUGUGUAGACAUUCUAAUCUUCUCAAUGAGGCCACAUUUAUUGUUUUCAAUUCCUGAUUUUGUCAUAGAAAGAUUUAUCUUUUAAAUUAUUUUGAGUGGAAAUUCAGGCAACCUCCUUCUGUCUUGAGAAAAGAAUGGGAAGGAAGGUGUUUAUCUGCUCAUAAAAAGACCUUUUGCUCUUCAGACUUGCUGAGUUUUUCCUUGAAGCUGGUCUAGUUGUGGUUGGAGAUCAAUGCGACAACUACAAUUUUUUCGUGUUAAUUUAUAUACGCAGAUGAAAUGGCGAUGAUGAACACUUGUUUACAGUUUCACAGACCUGUAAUGAUUGCGGAUAUGAUCGCUUCUAUUGAACAUCUAAGGGACUGAGCCAUUUCCUAUUGAACAUCUAUUGAACACUCUUUUACAGGUUUAAUAUUUUCAUGCCUGUUUAUAAUUCUUGGUUGUUUGUUGGAUGUCUUUCUAGGAGAAGUAGAUGGCAGCAGUGUAGUGCAAUAUGAAGGAGGAUAUUGUGAAGGACUGUAUUUUACAAAUUUAUUUGAAUAUGAAAAAUAAUGUUAUAGUAUAUGUAGAUUUGGAUCCUUUUUUAAUUCUGGAUUGAAGAUUGUUGUCAAUAAUUAGUUUCAAGAUUAAUGUCAGCUAUAGCCAUCACUUGCA